rnacentral:ncRNA from 1 species
CAAAGGUUUGGUCCUAGCCUUAUUAUUAAUUAAAAUUUUAUUUACACAUGCAAGUCUCAGCACCCCUGUGAAAAUGCCCUUUAUUACCAAUAAGUAAACAAGGAGCAGGUAUUAGGCACACAUUAAUGCCCAUGACACCUUGCCAAGCCACACCUCCACAGGAAUUCAGCAGUGGUAAACAUUGAAUAAUAAGCGUCAACAAGCUUGAAUCAGUAAAAAUUUUAAGAGUUGGUAAAUUUCGUGCCAGCCACCGCGGUUAAACGAGAAACCCAAGUUAAUAAAAACGGCCUAAAGCGUGGUUAAACGAUAUUAAAAUAAAUAGAAAUAAAAAUUAAUUCAACUGUCGCACGUAUUUAUUGACCAUACAUCCAAAACCGAAAGAUAUUCUAAUAAACAAAUUACUUGACCCCACGAAAGCUAAGAAACAAACUAGGAUUAGAUACCCUACUAUGCUUAACCUUAAACUUUGGAACCACCCCGCCUGAGUACUACGAGCCAUAGCUUAAAACUCAAAGGACUUGGCGGUGCUCUAUACCCCCCUAGAGGAGCCUGUUCUAUAAUUGAUAAUCCCCGAUAAACCUCACCACUUAUUGCCAAUACCGCCUAUAUACCGCCGUCGUCAGCUCACCAUUUAAAUGAAUAAAAGUAAGCAUAAUGAUAAACAUAAAAACGUCAGGUCAAGGUGUAGCGAAUUAAGUGGAAAGAAAUGGGCUACAUUUUCUACACAGAAAAUACGAAUAAUCUUAUGAAAAAAUAUUUAAAGGUGGAUUUAGCAGUAAAAAGAAAAUAGAGUGUUCUUUUUAAACAGGCCCUAGAGCGCGCACACACCGCCCGUCACCCUCCUCAAAAAACCAAAUAAUAAUAAUAUAAUAAUAAAAACAUAAAAGAAGAGGUAAGUCGUAACAUGGUAAGUUUACCGGAAGGUGUACUUGGAUUAU